GCUAACGUAGCUUACACCAAAGCAUAACACUGAAGAUGUUAAGAUGGGCCCUGAACAGCCCCGCGAGCA
rnacentral:tRNA from 1 species